UACGAAGGGGGCUAGCGUUGUUCGGAAUUACUGGGCGUAAAGCGUGCGCAGGCGGCUUCUCAAGUCAGGGGUGAAAGCCCAGAGCUCAACUCUGGAAUUGCCUUUGAGACUGAGUGGCUUGAGUACGAGAGAGGUGAGUGGAAUUCCCAGUGUAGAGGUGAAAUUCGUAGAUAUUGGGAAGAACACCAGUGGCGAAGGCGGCUCACUGGCUCGAAACUGACGCUCAUGCACGACAGCGUGGGGAUCAAACAGG
rnacentral:rRNA from 1 species